rnacentral:rRNA from 1 species
CCUACGGGUGGCAGCAGUGAGGAAUAUUGGUCAAUGGGCGAGAGCCUGAACCAGCCAAGUCGCGUGAGGGCAGACGGUCCUAUGGUUUGUAAACCUCUUUUGCCGGGGAGCAAAAAGCGUUACGUGUACCUCAUCGCGAGUACCCGGAGAAAACUCACCGGCUAACUCCGUGCCAGCAGCCUCGGUAAUACGGAGGGUGCGAGCGUUAAUCGGAAUUACUGGGCUUAAAGCGCUCGUAGGCGGUAUGUCAAGGCAAGGGUGAAAUCCCCGCGCUCAACGUGGGAACUGCCUUUGAAACUGGCAAACUGGAGUGUGUGAGAGGAUAGUGGAAUUCCAGGUGUAGGAGUGAAAUCCGUAGAUAUCUGGAGGAACAUCAGUGGCGAAGGCGACUAUCUGGCACAUAACUGACGCUGAGGAGCGAAAGCGUGGGUAGCAAACAGGAUUAGAUACCCGGUAGUC